GAGGGCCUGGCUCUCAUGUGUGUAUGCUUAUGGAUGUGCAUGACCUAUGUGCACAUGUGUGAGUGUGUGUGUUUAUGUAUCUUUACAUAUAGACACAGCACCUAAACUUUGUUUGUGUGUAUAACACCUAGCUGGUGUGUGUGUGUGUGUGUGUGUGUGUGUGUGUGUGUGUACAUGAACACAGAACCCAGCCCUAGGUCCUUUCCACUGGCACUCUUUAGGUAGGAAGCCAUAACUUCUUGGAAAGGCCAUAGGGAUUGCUGGUGGUCUACACAUAGAUGACAAGUAAAAAGACCAUGACUGGAACCAGAGAGUCGGGGUCCAGUCCCUCAACUUCACACACCAGAGCACAAGCACAGGACAGAGGACCAGAUUCCAAAUCAGGAGAGAGGAGAAGGCCUGCAUCCAGGCAGAGACUUCUGUCUCUCUGUCAGCAAAUACUGAUCCUGCAGCCUCCCUGGCUGGAGAAGAGGCAAACAGGACUGUGUCGUGAGGGUCUUUAGGCAGAGACUGAACUAUCUGAGCUUCUCCUGAGAUAUUCUCAAGGUCCAGGGAAGUGUAGGCACUGUGUGAUAGAGGUACCCGUCCUCCCCAGGGGCAGAGCUGAGCAGCAGUUCCGUAGAUGAAUGUGAGGGUCUCUCAUUGCAGAUUCUGCAGAACUCCUCUCCAGCAUACACAGCCUGCCUCUCUCCCUCCAGGCAGGCUGCCCACAUUCUGCCCCCACUGCAUCCGGAUGCCAAGGCACCAGCUGCUGCCCCAGUGCCUGGCAUAGCCCUCACUGCAGCUGGCAAGGUCUUGUGUCCUGAGGCCACAGGGCAGCAAGCUGAGGGGGUAGGGCAUGGGCCACAUAGGGACAAUCUGAAUCCCUCCCUCUGUCUAUUUAGGAGACCAGAAACAAAGGUGGGGCAGCCAGCAGAGUCAAGGAUGUGUUUAAUGGUGGCGUAGGGAGCCCAGCAUGGAAGGGGACAAAGAUGGACCAUCCGUGGGUCGGAAAAGAAACGGAGACAGGACCGUGAGGGAGAGAGAGGACACGUGGAACCUUAUCGAUAAAGGACAGGAGGGAACCCUGAGGGGACAGGGACAGGGAUUAAAUGGAGUGUCUUCCACAGUAGCAAGGGAAGGGGGCUGUGGCUGCCUCAGAUCGUUUCUGCAUUCAUAGAAAAGAAAGGAGUGAUCAGGAUGAGUGGAAAUAAAUCAAAUACCACCAUGAGAAAGAAAAAAGCAAGAUAUACCACCAGGAAAAUGGAAAGGAAAAAUAAAGAGACUGGAGACAACGGCAGGGGAGUACACAUCUCGACAUCAGAAACCAAGGUCUAAGGCUAGCUUGAGGGAGAAGGCCACAGCACCCGGAGCAGCGCCAGGACAAAACAGUUCUCAGGAGGACACAGGGUUUACUAAAGCAUUGGUGGGGACUCAA